UUUAAAAAUCUAUUUACUGUGUAUAAUCUGUACAGCACCAUGUACAUUGAUGGUGCUAUAUAAAUAAUAAUAAUAAUAAUAAUAAUAAUAAUAAUAAUAAUAAUGAAAUAAAUAAAAAUUAGGGGCGAAGAGCCUGGUGGGCACUAAGAGAGAUACCCAUGGGCACUGUGUUAGAGAUGCCAGGUUCAAACCACAGUUCCUUUUUUAGACAUAAGACACUGGUUAGUUUAAGCUAAAUCUCCUUGUGGUCAUGGGUUUAGUGUUCUGCCCAACCUGGGCACAGAAUGGUGCUUUUAAAAAAUGUAACAGGCUGUUUUUUGUGCUUGGACACAGCAGGAUUUGGGUUAGAAGAGAGCUUUCUAGAAACACCCAUCACUCCCCUCUGUACAAAUCCCUGCCCAGACAGGUACAAAAAGCAACACACCUACUUUUGUUCCUGUGCAUCAGGAAGCAAUAAAUCCAUGCCUCACUGGCUAAAACGGCCAAUGUUUGGCUACCAGGGCCAGCCAAAAUGUUUGGAUCUUUGUUCAGCAACGUUUGCCUGCAAUGAGGGGGCAGGAAAGGAAAAGUGUGUGUUAGGGUGAUCUUGCCUAGGGAACAUUCCUGAGAACUAUAGAAUUGCUGUGAUUUGGUGGCUUUACAAACUAUGCAGUACUGUGGAUGCUAGUUGGCUGAACUGGCAUGGAGACUUCCUACUAUUUGGAUAUUUUCAUUUGGUGCCUGUGUUCCCUGCAGCUCCAUUGUGUUCAUGGUGGUAAUUGUGGGAAUACAGCCUACACAAGGGAAAGAGUGAUAAUUAACCCUACACUGAAUUGUGCUGUCUAUAUGCAGAUGCGAGUUCUCACCCUUGCAAAUUAAUGCAAAAACAUAACAGCAAGAAAUCCCCCAUAGAUGUGCUGUUAGAUUAUUAUUUUCACUUUAAAACAAUGGUAAUAAAAUGUGUAAUCUUCAGGUUUCGGAAACUAAGGCCUUAGCUAGACCUAAGGAUUCCUGUGUGUCCUUUUGAUGCCCAGGGAUGAUCCCGGGACAAUCCUGGGAUAUAGGCCUGGUCUAGCCAUGGCCUAAGUCUUGUGUUUACUGCAUAUUGUCACUCGUGUCCUGUGUCAUCUACUUCCCACAAGUGGCAAAUGAGGCAUUAAUAUGAAUCUCUAUGGUUUGGUUUCUUAGUAACUUUGAUGGCUUCCGGGAAAGAUGUAAUCUUAUAAAUUAUCUCUCACGUGAAUUUAGCAGCAAGGAUUUCCCCAUUCCAUUCUAUUCAUCCUCCCCUUUUGUAAAGGUAUAUAGGCAGUAUAUAUGUAUCGCAUUCAGUGCGGAUUCAAAUGUGCAUUCAAACCAUGCAAUCCUCUGCAUGCAUUCUGAAAUUGUACUGUUUAGGAAGACUAUCAUGCUAUGUUUAUGCACUUGAAGUAGGAUAUUAAGACAAACCAAAAUACGCAAUUGGGAGAUCCAUUGUCAGAUCUCUUCAGGUUGUUUUUUGUUUUGUUUUUUAAGGUAAAAGCAUACAUAAAGGUUUCCAAAUAGGACUGGGACCAUGCUGCAUUUUUGGUAAUUCUCUCCCCAACCAACUCCAUUUUCCUGAUUUAAAUCAUCCCUUGAAUCUGUUAGUUCCUCACAGAGGAAAAUUUACAAGUACUGUAUGUUUCGCCAAUGGGCAACCAGCAGUUUCAAGAGGUGGGUGGGUAGGAUUAAAUAGGGGAAAUGAUGCAUGGGGAAAGGUUUAAAAACCAAUCAAUCAACCAAAAAACAAAACAAAACAGCACUAUGGCCCCAAUCCAAACCAACCCCCUCCACUCCUGUUUGCUUUUGCCUUUUUUAAAAAAAUAAAUGCAGUGACUGAACUCCCAAAGUCACAGUUUCUUUGGUCCUUAGUCUUACCAUUCCUGUGGCAACAACCUACUUGACAUUUAUGUCAUCUAAUGAACUGCAAGAGCAGAGCUGUGUUAACAUGUUUGCUGAAAUGUGGACGGCUGUUGAUUAUUUUGCAUGGGUAAACCUUGUUAAAUGUUAAUGGAAUACUUCAUUUUUGAAAAACUAAAAAAAAAAAUCAAAAGGAAAACUGAUUCACCAUUCACUAACUUAGUACAACGAGUAGAAUAAAAAUCAGCACACUUCUUUAACACAAUUGUAUUUAAUAGACAUUGUACAUGGACAUUACAUUUCUAAAAUGCUCCAGCAAACUUGCAAUACCUUAAUAAUGCUCAGUGUUCUAAAGUAUUAAGCAAGAAUCAUAAAUGAGCAUUCUUAGCAAUAUUUUGAAAACUAGAACAGGUUUAACUGUUUGCCUUUUUGCUCCCCCCCUCCCUGUAGUGCAGCCUUUCUGCAACUUAACUGUAUCGCUUCGUACUUCAUGUUUUUUUUUUUUACUAUCACGGCUUCAAAAUUCAAACCUGUACCCAAAGUCCUGAAUGACUUGUCUCUUGUACAUGCAAUGUAACAACAUACUUAAAAGUUUUUGGUGCUUAAAAUUGUUCCUUUGUUUUCUUUAAUAAAGGAUAUUUAUUUGAA